rnacentral:rRNA from 1 species
CCUACGGGAGGCAGCAGUGGGGAAUAUUGCACAAUGGGCGCAAGCCUGAUGCAGCCAUGCCGCGUGUGUGAAGAAGGCCUUCGGGUUGUAAAGCACUUUCAGUCGUGAGGAAGGUAGUGUAGUUAAUAGCUGCAUUAUUUGACGUUAGCGACAGAAGAAGCACCGGCUAACUCCGUGCCAGCAGCCGCGGUAAUA